CUACGGGAGGCACCAGUCGAGAAUAGUCUACAAUGGACGAAAGUCUGAUAGUGCGACGCCGCGUGGAUGAAGAAGCAUUUCGGUGUGUAAAGUCCUUUUCUGUGUGAGCAAUGUUUUCCAGGUUAAUAGCUUGGAGAAAGCGAUAUUAACACAGGAAUAAGCUCCGGCUAACUCCGUGCCAGCAGCCGCGGUAACACGGGGGGAGCAAGCGUUGUCCGGAAUUACUAGGCGUAAAGGGUAAGUAGGCGGAACUGUAAGUCAGAUGUUAAAGGCACCGGCUCAACCGGUGUAUGGCAUUUGAUACUGUAAUUCUAGAGUAAGGUGGGGGAAGACGGAAUUCCUGGUGUAGCGGUGGAAUGCGCAGAUAUCAGGAGGAACACCAGAGGCGCAGGCGGUCUUCUAUACCAUUACUGACGCUCAAUUACGAAGGUGUGGGUAUCAAACAGGAUUAGAUACCCCAGUAGUC
rnacentral:rRNA from 1 species